UACCACAUCCAAGGAAGGCAGCAGGCACGCAAAUUACCCAAUCCCAGCUCUGGGAGGUAGUGACGAAAAAUAACAAUGCGGGACUCUUCCGAGUCUGCGUAAUUGGAAUGAGCACACUUUAAAUCCUUUAGCAACAACCAAUUGGAGGGCAAGUCUGGUGCCAGCAGCCGCGGUAAUUCCAGCUCCAAUAGCGUAUAUUAAAGUUGUUGCGGUUAAAAAGCUCGUAGUUCGAGCUCAGUUCCGGACUGGCUGGGGAGGUCACCGCCCGGUGCUUCCCCGUCAGGCUCCGAACAGCUUCCGUGAGUGGAAGCCAAGCCGGUUCUGCCGGGGUGCUCUUUACCGAGUGUCCCGCGCGGCCGGCCAGUUCACCUUGAAUAAAUGAGAGUGCUCAAAGCAGGCUACUCUCGAAUACAAUGCCCGAAUGUUACCUGCAUGGAAUGAUGGAAGAUGAUCUCGGUUCCAUUUUCUUGGUGGUGGGAGCCAGAGGUAAUGAUAAAGAGGGACUGUCGGGGGCAUCCGUACUACGACGCGAGAGGUGAAAU
rnacentral:rRNA from 4 species